rnacentral:rRNA from 1 species
AUUGAACGCUGGCGGAAUGCUUACACAUGCAAGUCGAACGGCAGCACGGACUUCGGUCUGGUGGCGAGUGGCGAACGGGUGAGUAAUGUAUCGGAACGUGCCCAGUCGUGGGGGAUAACGUAGUGAAAAUUACGCUAAUACCGCAUACGAUCUAUGGAUGAAAGCGGGGGAUCGCAAGACCUCGCGCGAUUGGAGCGGCCGAUAUCAGAUUGGGUAGUUGGUGGGGUAAAGGCCCACCAAGCCAACGAUCUGUAGCUGGUCUGAGAGGACGACCAGCCACACUGGAACUGAGACACGGUCCAGACUCGUACGGGAGGCAGCAGUGGGGAAUUUUGGACAAUGGGCGAAAGCCUGAUCCAGCCAUUCCGCGUGCAGGAUGAAGGCCCUCGGGUUGUAAACUGCUUUUGUACAGAACGAAAAGGUUUCUACUAAUACUAGGAGCUCAUGACGGUACUGUAAGAAUAAGCACCGGCUAACUACGUGCCAGCCGCCGCCGUAA